rnacentral:lncRNA from 1 species
AAUAGAGAUCAAAUCCAAACUAAACAACAUAUAGAUUCGAAAAUAAAUUGAAAAACCUACCUAGAUAAGUUGAAAAUCAAACAAAAAAACUCAAAUAUAUUUGACAUUGACCCCUUGUUUCAGUUCCAAACCAAACCCAAACUUAUUGCCUUCUUCUCAUCCUCCUCACCUUAUCCGACCAAACUGCCUUCGUUUUCACCAUCUCCGACAAGCUUCAACCAACAACUAUAAAUGAGAACCAACAACAACAA